UACGAAGGGGGCUAGCGUUGUUCGGAAUUACUGGGCGUAAAGCGCACGUAGGCGGCCAUUUAAGUCAGGGGUGAAAUCCCAGAGCUCAACUCUGGAACUGCCUUUGAUACUGGGUGUCUUGAGUAUGGAAGAGGUGAGUGGAAUUCCGAGUGUAGAGGUGAAAUUCGUAGAUAUUCGGAGGAACACCAGUGGCGAAGGCGGCUCACUGGUCCAUUACUGACACUGAGGUACGAAAGCGUGGGUAGCAAACAGG
rnacentral:rRNA from 1 species